rnacentral:rRNA from 1 species
AGUGAACGCUGGCGGUAGGCCUAACACAUGCAAGUCGAACGGCAGCACAGUAAGAUCUUGCUCUUACGGUUGGCGAGUGGCGGACGGGUGAGGAAUACAUCGGAAUCUACUUUUUCGUGGGGGAUAACGUAGGGCAACUUACGCUAAUACCGCAUACGACCUACGGGUGAAAGCAGGGGAUCUUCGGACCUUGCGCGAUUGUAUGAGCCGAUGUCGGAUUAGCUAGUUGGUAAGGUAAAGGCCCACCAAGGCGACGAUCCGUAGCUGACCUGAGAGGAUGAUCGGCCACACUGGAACUGAGACACGGUCCAGACUCCUACGGGAGGCAGCAGUAGGGAAGCUUCCGCAAUGGGCGAAAGCCUGACGGAGCAACGCCGCGUGAGGGAUGAAGGUCUUCGGAUCGUAAAACUCUGUUAUUAGGGAAGAACAAAUGUGUAAGUAACUAUGCACGUCUUGACGGUACCUAAUCAGAAAGCCACGGCUAACUACGUG